UCUGCCGCGAACAAUGAAGCAACAGAUUGUCGCUCCAAAAAAUUUCGACUUUUGAAUUGCGCGCGUAGAGCGAUCGUGCCGGUGCAGUUUCCAUAUUGCGCAAAAAUGCAUUCUUCAAUCUUUGCAGACACAGCUCGAGACCUCUCCGGCUCGGCCUAGAGUUUUGGAGUCGUUCAAGGCGUAUGCGUGCGUUCUCCCCUGUGUUUGUGUGUGUUUUAUUUUCGUCAAUUAGAAGUAACGGUUGCACGGGAGAAACUGGAAAAUCAACGAAGCGCGCCCGCCAGCCCGCCCGGCCCCAACGCAGAGUGCACACCAAGAUACAUUUGUAUCUGUAAUUUGUGAAUUUUCGGUUUUCUUUAUUUCGUUUCGUUCCGUUUCGUUGUUUCGGUGUUGCUUUGCGCAACAAGUGUGUGCCUCGCCCGCCUCCCAACACGAAGCGAAGGCAAGACGAAGAAUAAUGAUCAAUUUAAUUCAAUCAGCGAUCCCAUCAACCUGCAGCGAGCACAUCCAAACCAAAACCAAACAGAUCCGAUCCCAUCCGAUCCUCGUGUGUGGCAAGUGUAGGAGAAUCUAACGAAUAGGUGGCUGCCAGUGCAAACAAAUAGAAUCGAGCAAACAGCAAAUACCAACAGUACCAACAAUACCAACGCGUUUUGUGAGCCGGUUUAGUCAUUCGCGAGUUCCGAGAAUCCCACUGGCUGGCGAAAAACGUAACUUUUCGAGAUACAUUCCCAGCCAGAACAGCUGUUGUUGGCUUUGAGCGCUGCUUACUUGUCUGCCACUUACCCUGAAGCUCCGUGUAGCCAGGUGAUAAGAUAGCUCCGCUCGGUUUAGCGAUUGGAACGAAAUACCAACAAAACGGGCCAAGAAAAAUUGCACAGUUUGCGAUGUGUCUAAAGUAAAACUCGCAGCAUUAUCUUAUCGGCUGACCAUUGAUUGGGCUUUGCCUUUUCCGCUCCAUUCGGUUCAGUUCGGGUCGGUAUUCGUAGCGUUCUAGGUGAAGUGAAGUGAAGUCAUUUGCGCAGCCAUAUUAGACCAGCCCGCGGACUGUGGAGUGGGGUGCUUCGACAAGGCCUUUAGUCAGCGCCAGUCUAGAUACAAUAUCUAUAUCCCAUAUCUACGGGAAUAUCUAAUGCCGCCAGUGCAAAGUGCUGCAAGGAGAAGCAACCAACAGAGAAAAAACCAUUCCCAGUGCCAGUGCCAGUGCCAGUUGCUCUGCAAUCUUUGUCUAAAUUUAGACAAAGCCAGAGCCAACCUAACCAAACGUAACCAAACCAAUCCAAACUGAAGUGAGCUGAACAAGGCCUUCUGGCCAUAUACGAUUGUAAAUCAAGUAUUUGGCCCCCAGAAGGAGAAGCGAAGCUGCGGAAGAAAGCCCGAGCAUACCAGGAUGGACAUAGAAUCGGAUUCAGACACCUCCGAGAGAUGGGAGGACUUUUUUGGUAGCACCACAGAGCUGGCACCUUCGCUGCUGGGCAUCUACGACACAUUGACGAACAGCCUGGCUGCCAGCGCGGGCGUGGCAGCUCCCACUGUGACACACGAGACCAAGAGCCAGGCACAGGCCCAGCUCCAGCUCAAGGCGCAGUCGCAGGCCAAGACGAACAUCAGCAGUGGCGAAUCGACGCCGAAGAGGAGCAACAGCAGCAGCAGCAACAGCUCCACAUCGAGCGGCACGAGUGUCUCCACCAGCGAUGAUCAAUCGGCCAGCUACUCGCUAACUGCCUCCAGCUCUCAGCUUGCAGCCAGUGUCCGUGCCCCGCCCCUGGUGGUGGCUGGUCUGCGGGACGAACCGGAUGGGGCACAGCUGAGCCGCCUGGUGGUGCAUCGCCGACAGGAGCUAGGCAGCAGCAACAGCAGCCUCGCCUCGAGCGGCAGCCGACGCGGCAACAACAUUCGCAUCCUCUCGGCCAACGUGCACCGCAUCAUCACGCACUCGGACGCCGAGCCCGUGGAUGCCAUUGACAUUGAGGCACUGCAGCAGCCGCAGCCGCAGCAGUCGCAAUCAUCCCCGCAGCUAUCCCAAAGGAGUCCCACGCAGGGUCGCUACGUCAAGACGAGCAGCAGCAGUGGAGGAGGCCAUCCGCCAGUGGCCACGUCCAAGCCCAAGCUGAAGCCUUCGCACAUCCCCCUGUCCAAGAACACGGGCAAGCUGUUCACGCAAGGGGGCCACGAACUGGAGCCCACCUUCGACGCCAGCAACGAGUACGUCAACUCCCUGACCUUUGCCGCCUCGGAGAAGGCGCGAAAACCACAUCCGGCGACACCGUCGGACGACGACAGAACCCCCACGAACAAGAGCGUCCCCGGAACCCCGUUCCACUUUGAUGGAAAUCCCUUUUCGCCUCGCAAACUGACGCUUCCCCGCUACGAGUCCCAGCAGAGCAUCAAGCUGAUCGAGAUGGAGCAGCUUGCGGCCACCAGUGUACAGCUGCAGCACGCCCGGCCAGCCACCCCAGCCACCCCAGGCACACCAGCCACCCCCUCCACGCCGGCCGCCCCUCUGCGGCCCAAGGAGUUUGUGUGCAGCGAGCCCCUGAGCCCCGUGGAGCUGGUGGACACAAUUAACUUUGACCUGGUCGCCCAGCACAUCGAGCGUCUCACUCUGGCCGAUUUGGGGGCCAACGCGGGGCCGAAUGCGGAGCUGAUCGAGGCCGUUAACAAGCCUCUGAUCAGCAAGCCGCUGGUGAGAAGCUCCUCGGCCGCCUGUGCAUCAACGAUCACCAGCUCCCCGCUGCUGACCUACGCCCGCACCAAGAGCCUCAGUGCCAAGGCCUCGACCCUGGGCGCGGGAGUGCCCCUGAAGCUGCCCACGGCCGAGCAGCUGGCGGAGCUGGAGGAGGCCAACAAGCUGUCGGCGGAGAGCCUGGACCGCCUCACAGAUAUCAAGCCAAAGUUUGCCGCACGCCUCAGCGAGCGCCUCAACAACCGCCCGCUGUCGUCCUCCUCCAUCUGCUCCACGUCGUCCAGCUCCAGUUCGGGGUCCGAUCAGCUGCUCCACGGGAAGAACGCUGCCACCUCGUAUCUGGCGAGUGUGGAGAGUCUGGCCGAGAGCGAGAACGAGCUAGGGGAUCCCCACCACCAUCAUCCGCACCACACGGUCGCAAUGAGUGUCCUGGAGCGGGCUAGCCUGGAGAUCAUCGACUCGGAGCGCAGCUUUGUCGAGGACCUGGGCCAGGUCAUCAAGGGAUACCUGCUGGAUUGGAAGGAGCGUGCCUGUCUGCGUGUGAACGAAUUGCAAAUACUCUUUGCCAACAUUGAAGAGAUUUACGAAUUCAACUCGAUGCUGCUGCAGCGACUGAUCAACUCUGGGAUGGAGCCGGGCAGGAUCGCCAGAUGCUUCAUAGAUCUGCGCGAUGGCUUUGAUGUGUAUACAACAUAUUGCACCAGCUACCCGGAAGCCAUCUCGCUGCUGACCAAGCUGCUCCAGGCAACGCACACGAACGCCCUGCUGGCCUCCACGCAGAAGAUGCUGCACCACCGUCUGCCCCUGGGCUCCUAUCUCUUAAAGCCAGUGCAGCGCAUCUUGAAGUACCAUCUGCUCCUCGACAGCCUGCGCAAGCACUGCGAUGUCAAGGAGGUGGCCGAGGCCUAUGUGAUCAUGCGCCAGGUGGCGCACAACAUUGACCAGGUGAAGCGCAAGCAGGAGCAGCAGAGCCGCGUCAAGGAGCUGUCCGGCAUACUGGACGGCUGGCUGGGUCCGGAGCUGACCGUUUUGGGGGAGCUGCGCCAGGAGGGCCUCCUAAUGGAGCAGCACAACAAGUCGCGUCUGGUUUUGCUCUUCGCCACCAUGCUGAUCAUCACCAAGCAGAAGGAGGACGGACGUCUGCAGUUCAAGACCUACAUACACCAAAACAAUCUGAUGCUGAGCGAACACUUGUCCGGGGAGCCGACCAGCUUCUACGUCAUACCCUACGAUGAGCCCCGCAAUCAAAUCAAGCUGACGGCCAGAAAUCGUGACCAGAAGCGUAUCUGGACGCAGCACAUUAAAGGUGUCAUGCUGGAGAAGCUUGACAUACCCUUGCGAGCCAAGGAGCUCGUCUAUCAGCUGGGUAACGAGGAAGUACUACCAGUGAUGCAUUCUAAAACUAAACAUCCCAAAACAAAGAAACGAAAACUUUGAUUAGUUUUUAAGGGUGUUCUAAGGCUAAACAACCCCCCCGAGACUGAAACUGAAACUGAUCUAGCCGCUACCUACUCUACUCGUAAUUUCCUACAACAUACCAAAUGCGAUCAGACUAAAUUGACAACCUACCAACUGCUACAAUAUCUAUAAAAAUCCAAAAUCCCAGUACAUAUAACCGUUUAACCAUCCUAACUGUAAUCGUUAAUCGUUACUCGUAAUCGUAAUCGUAAUCGUAAUAGUAGAGUCGGUACCGUUUAUGGUUUAUCGCUUAUCGUUGCUGGUAUCGAGAGCCCAAUCGCACGCCGGACCGCAGCACGUGGAAGUGGAGUCUCCACUCCAGCAGCAACUCCAAGCCCACGUAUCUGGAGCGUCGCAACGCAUGUCG
rnacentral:misc_RNA from 1 species